GAUGAACGCUGGCGGCGUGCCUAAUACAUGCAAGUCGAGCGAACAGACGAGGAGCUUGCUCCUCUGACGUUAGCGGCGGACGGGUGAGUAACACGUGGAUAACCUACCUAUAAGACUGGGAUAACUUCGGGAAACCGGAGCUAAUACCGGAUAAUAUAUUGAACCGCAUGGUUCAAUAGUGAAAGACGGUUUUGCUGUCACUUAUAGAUGGAUCCGCGCCGCAUUAGCUAGUUGGUAAGGUAACGGCUUACCAAGGCAACGAUGCGUAGCCGACCUGAGAGGGUGAUCGGCCACACUGGAACUGAGACACGGUCCAGACUCCUACGGGAGGCAGCAGUAGGGAAUCUUCCGCAAUGGGGGAAAGCUUGACGGAGCAACGCCGCGUGAGUGAUGAAGGUCUUCGGAUCGUAAAACUCUGUUAUUAGGGAAGAACAAAUGUGUAAGUAACUAUGCACGUCUUGACGGUACCUAAUCAGAAAGCCACGGCUAACUACGUG
rnacentral:rRNA from 1 species